AAAAAAAAAAAUUGCGUAGUGGUGCAUGCCUGUAGUCCCAACUACUUGGGAGGCUGAGGUGGGAGGAUCACUUGAGCCUGGGAAGCGGAGGUCACAGUUAGUCAAGAUAGCUCCACUGCCCUCCAGCCUGGGUGACAGAGUGAGACCCUAUCUCAAAAAACAAAUAAAUAAAAUCAGAACGAAAAAAUAUAAUAAUCACAAGUACAUAAGAACAAAUUCAUAUACUUUUUAAUUUUAUUUUUAAUGAAGAAAGGAGCCCACAAAGACAAAAAUACCCUCAGCAUUUCCAGGCACCACAAGAGUCACAAUGAGGCCCUAGUAAGGACACCAAUCCAGUUGAAGUUCAUGUAUUCAUACUGAGUACUCCUGGAAAUUUUCAUAUUUUAAAUUUAUAUAUUGCGCAAGACUUAGUCUUUGAUUUUCUAGUUUUUUCUAUUUAUACUAACACCUCAGAGACCUAAUACAUUUCAUGGCCUUUGUUUACUGUCUCUAUCGUAAUGACUUCCAAGUCCCUCUCUUCUCUAUUCUUGUGUUGGAGUUCUAAUUUUGUACUUCUAAGUACCUGUUGGGUAUUUCCACCUGUGUAUCUCAUCGCUGGCUCAGCCGACAAACACAUCACUGAGCUCACCAUCUUCCCCUGCUCUUCGGUUUUCUCUCUUCAAUUUUCCUGUCUAUUAGAGUUCCUGCUAACUCUGUAGUCAUUAAUGAACCAACCACAAGCUUGUCUCCUUCUUCAUCCCCUUAUCUGAGGACCUGAUUGAGCCUCUGGUCCCAUGCCCACUGCCAUCCCUAUUGAAGUCUCACUGCCAGUCCCUCAGCCAAGCAUCCUUACUUCUCAUCGAGUUCCACAUGCAGACUCCUGACUGACUUCUCUGCAUUCCAGCUUCCUUGUGCGAUACAUUCCUGACCCUCCCCGAAUUGAUCUUUGUACUGCUUUCAUCAUUUUCCUCCUCUGCUCCAUAAUUCCUCCGCACUUCAACCCAAACUCCUCACCCAGUUUAGAAAGCUCUGCUCACGUGGUUCCUCCCACUGUGGACAAUGCAUCUCCCAACACAUUAACACCCACCAGAGGUGAUGAUUAAGGAGUCCCUUCACUCACGAACUAGACUUGCUGUCUUAGUCUUUUGUGUCUGCUCUUUCUUUCAUUCAUUUACUCCAUUUUUGGGGUAACUACUCUGUCCCAGGCACAGACACCUUAAAUGGUCCUCUAUUACCUAUUCCAACCCUAUACAGCUUUCAAAGCUCAGGUCAACUUCCAAUCCAUGAAGCCCAGGUCUCCCUUCUAUCACAAGUCUUUUUCCUCUGAACUCCUGGGAAGCUUAGAGACAUUGUCAAACAUUUAGGACUUAAACAUGUGACAUGAGAUUUCCUGACUGUGUCACGCAUGCUCUCCAGUCUGACUUGUUUGAGUUUCUGCAAAGAUCUUUACAGAAGAUCUAUCUUCUUACCACUCAGCUGCAGCUGGCAUCGAGCCCUGGCUGGACUAGUCAUGCUAACCCCUUGGUUAUUAAUCAUCGCCAUGAUUUUUCAUGUGUUUACUAUAGUAUGAUCCAGGCGUUGACUAUACUGGGCACUUUAUGAGGUUGUUAUUAUCCUCCGUUUUUUACAGAUGAGGAAAGUGAGGCUCAGAGGGGUUAAGUGACUUCUCCAGUUUUACAUAGUUUGAAAGUGGCUGACUGAGAAUUUGAAUAUAGGUCCGACAUAAUUCAAAUAUUGUGCUCUUGACCACUUAACUAAAUUAACUCUACUUUCUGAUUGAUUCACAUAUGUUGAAAUCUACUCAUUCUCCUCCUAGUGUCAUUAUGUUUGUUUAUUCUCUCCUUUAUAUUUUUAAGGCCUGCUGGUCUAUCCUUUCCAGGAUCUACACUUAUGCUGGACCCACUAAGCUGUCCUAGAACAUCAUAGUAAAUGUUCACCAGAUAUUAAUUAUUUGAGUGAGAAUGGUUGUGAGCAUUGGGUACUCCCCCAGCCAGUACCCUUCUCUCUUGCAGUAGUAUAUUUUGUAGAUUAAAUAAAACUCAAGAUAAAAAAAACAAAUUAAUAAAUGAUCAAUGGAAACAGAAAUUUGGAACAUAAAAGUAUUAUUUCAAAAUGAACACAUUAUAUGUAAAAGCUCACAACCAGGAAUUUCUUCAGUUGGGUUUGCAGCAAUGUUAUGUCACUAAUACUAUAUUUCUCUCUGUAUGGCCAAACCUGUAAAGCCUCAAUAUCUGAUUAUGGAGCACAUCUAGACUGUUAAAAAGCUUUCUAUAAUAUUAAUAAAAUCAAAUAAUAAAUAAAAAUUAAAUUGACUAAUCAUAGCAAUUUCAUUUUGAGAAUGUUUUGUAGGCUGAAGGCAAAUCCUUGAGAUAUUUUUGCAGGAGCGUCAUUGCGAAACAGAAUCUGCAGUAGAACUAUGUCAUCUUCUGGUUCUGAGUGUGCCCUCUCAUUGCUGGCAGAUGGCAAGUAUUUAUUUGCUUGCUAGCUCUUUAGUGGAACUGGUCUUCUGUUUCCACUGUCGCCUCGUGUGACACAAACUGCCACCUAUCUCCCAAGGUUCUUUCUUUGUAACAGAACCCUAGUUUUUGGCUGGACUCAUUUCCCCAGUGGUAGAGGCUGCUGGCUGGUCAUGUCAUGAGCCCAGGUCUUCUUCUUGGGCACAACCAGAUGCCAUUUCUCAGCCUCCCUUGCAGUUAUAUGCAGCUGUGUGUUUGAGUUCUGGCCGUUACUUAAUGCAGUUAAGUAACAAGAUCUUGGAAGACAAGUGUUGAAGGUGAAAGAGGCACAAGAUAGAAGAAACCUGGGUCCUUAGAUCCUUGCUUGGAGGAAAACCACCUGCCAAUCCAGAACAUCAUUUUGGACUUCAUUUCAUAUUAGAUAUUAUGUUACCAAUGAGCAGGGACUAUGAUGAAUGUGUCUUUAGAACACCCAAUGAAGUGCCACUUGCCACAAGAAGCUAAGUCACAAUCUGAUGGCCAGAGGAGGCAAUCAUUCUUCCUACAGUUUUGUGCAUAAACCUUCCUGCCUCUCUGCUGGGGACCACCUAUGGGGAAAGGAAAACUUCUCUCUCAUGGCUCUCCUUUCCCAGGAAAACUUUAGCUCCUGUUGAGACCAACACCUUCCCUGGAGAAUGCAGAGUGAAGGGAUUAGGCCCAUCACAAUUUUCCAUUCAUGAUGUUGGGUCAAGCAAGGCAUCACACAGAAUGAAUAGAAACAGAAACAGCCCCACAUGUGAAGUAGGAGCCAUGCUGGAAUGAACAAGGGCCACGGUAUGGGUGAGUUACACGGUACAGAGCACAGGGGCUGACUGCUUUGUGCUCUUCCAGGUGGGAUCAUUACUUGCCAGCCUUCCAGCUGAUGCCAGUGGCAACAGCACGACAGGCUGAACUGGAUUCUUUAUGACUAUGUAUUCAUUAGGGGGAAAAAGCACUUCCAAUGCAAAUGAUUGAAAUGGAAACAAGAUGUGCACUCUGCUGCCUAAAUGAAAGCUCUACCAGGUAGGCCAUUCAAACUCAAUUAAGAGUAGCAAAACAGGAUCUAUCAGGACAGUGGCUGUAACCCCUGUCACAGAGAAUGGACAGUGAGCGGUCCAAAUGGAUUGGGGGGCAUGAAUGGCACCUGACUUACAGCAGGAGCUCAGCACUUUUACUCUCUUUGCCGCUUCACUGGAACCAGGAGAAAAAGACAUUAGGAUGAAGGAUAAUGUGUGAUACACACAUAAAGAUGAAAGCGAGAGGGACACAUGCAAUGUCACUUAUUGGAAGGACCACUUUAGGCUGCUCUGUCCUCUCUCCCCUGAAAACAUGUUCCACAUUGUUUUAACCAUCUGUGGCCCACUCUGGAGCUCAAGGAACCCUGGCCUUUCUGCUUUAUUGUGAGCACAGCCAUAUGAAACUGCAAUCUGGCAGCUGAAGGGGAAAGUACUUUUACUGUCUCUGCUGAGAAAGGGUUUGGAUGAAUCGAAUCCCCUGUUAUGCGUGAAAUUGUACCCUCUAGAAAGCUCUGUUGAUGACCCAACCCACGGUACCUGUGAAUGUGACCUUAUUUGAAAAUAUGGUCUUAUAAAUGUAAUCAAGCAAAGAUGAGAUGAUACUGAAUUAGGGUGGGCCUCCACCAACAUGACUGGUGUCCUUAUGAGAAGCAAGGAAGAGACAUAAGGAGAACAUGGUGUGACAAUUGAGACAGAGAUUGGAGUGAUGCAUCUACAAGCCAAGAAAUGUCAAGGGCCGUGAGCCACACCAGAAGCUAAGAGAAAGGCAUGGGACUGACCCUCCCCUAGAGCCAUCAGAAAGAGCCUGACCCUGGCGGCACCUUGCUUUUGGACUUCUAGACUCCAGAAUUAUGAGAAUAAAUUUGUGUUGCUUUAAGCCACUCAGUUUGUGGUAAUUUGUUAUGACAGUUCUAAGAAACUAAUCCACCCUGCUAAAGAGUAAAUGUCUGAUGCAAAACUCACUACAUGGAUGAAAAGGCUGAGAUAUUCCGAAGAGUCAUAAUGAACUGUGCCGUCAUCUACAAAGGAAGUGCAGCACUGCAACAACUCAAGAUAGAUUCUGGAGACGUGGCAGGACAGACGUGCCUACCAGACUAGGAGCACUUUCAGGACAGCGUCAUGCCUUGUUCUCCUCCACAUCCCUCCGUGCCUGAAAAUCAGAAAUGCUCAAUUAAAUGUUGAAAAUGUCAAUAAAUUCAUAGGAAAACGAUCUCAGAUAAGUCAAUAACGUUAUGUUAUUUUAUUUUAUUUUUGAAAUGGAGUCUUGCUUUGUCACCCAGGCUGGAGUGUAGUGGCACGAUCUCAGCUCAUUGCAACCUCUGCCUCCCAGGUUCAAGCGAUUCUCCUGCCUCGGCCCCCUGAGUAGCUAGGAUUAUAGGCAUGCACCACCACGUCCAGCUAAUUUUUGUAUUUUUAGUGGAGACGGAGUUUCACCAUGUUGGUCAGGCUGGUCUCGAACUCCUGACCUCGUGAUCCACCCACCUCGGCUUCCCAAAUUGCUGGGCUUACAGGUGUGAGCCACCGCACCCAGCCAUGAUUAACCUUAUUUUAUGAUGUCAUGUAAGUCCUUACCACCACCUUCCAUGAAGACGUAACUGACAAAGACAUCUGAUUUGAUGCUUUCAUUGGAGAAACCCACCCUUGGCCAUUGAAGAGCACAACUUUGGGUUUCUUUGAGAUUUAAUCUGGUCCUUGGAUUCCCAAAUGGCAGACGUGGCCAGUAACAGCUUUUUACAAAUCUUCAAAUCCCACUGACACUGGGAUUCUGCCCCUCAGACGUGGCUGUGGUUUUUUCACUGGCAGGGCAGGAUAUGUUACUCUCCGCUUAACAUCGGCCCACUCACAGUGUUAGUUAGCCUGCUGUUUCAUACAUGAAUCCAUCUGAAAUGCCUCCGAGUCUCCAGGUGAAGGGUGCUGCCAUCAGCAGCAGCCAAUAAAUGAAAUAAUACCAAAUAUAAAAUCAGCCACAUUGGUCUCCUGGAGGUAAAUAGAGCACAGGGGCGUUUCAUUUACUGAAAGGCCAGAAUUGCGAUACCUGUAAAUGUUGAAUGUGAAUGUGUUUUAUAAAGUGUAAAGGGCUGUAAAGAAGUCAGUUAUUAUGUUUAUUAUUGCUCCUGCUCUGUACACUUGAUCAAAUGACAAACCCAAAGGCUCACCUCUCUGGGCUCCGGUUUCCUUACUCAAAUGAGGGAAUUAUGUUUAAUAUCCCAAGCUCCCAACUAAAUCUUUUUUUUUUCCUUUGACUCUAUGAAUCUAUCAGCAGGAACUUCCAUCCAAAUUCCUGAAAUGUGGGAAUAUAUUUGAUGACGCUGUUUACAUAUAAUAUUAAUUUAUUUUGCAUAAAUUUUUCAGAAUAUGUUUUGUAUAACAUAGAAGAUGAAGGGGGAAAAAGUAAAGUAAGAUGGGAAAGUAGGCCAUAAGGAAGGAUAAGGAGAAACGCUUAAGAAAAUCCACCUAUUAUAAUAAUUAAAAUUCAGCUUACCUGGAAAGGGGAGGAGAGCAUUUAUGAUUAACAUGAAUGUAGUCUGUGCUCAUUGCAAAGUAAAUUUUCAGAAAAAAAGGGCAAAAUCUGAUUAUUUUAAUCGUCAGAUUAAAUGCAAUUAGAAAUCCCACCUACCUUUUAAAGUAAACAGCAAACUUAGUAUUUUACUACAUAAAAGAAACAAUUGAAAUAAUCCUAACUUCAGGUUAUCGUUGCAUAUAACAGAACAUUAUAUUUGAAAAUGAUCCUCAUUGAGUUUUUUGGAUUCAACAACUUUUUCUGUGGCUAAAAAUGUCCCUUGAGUUUCUGAAAUCUGCUAGAAUGCUGGGAAGAGCUGUGCAGAAAUACCUCCAAAGGGUCAGAAAGUAAUUUAGGAUUUUUAAUUCAAUGGAAUCAAUCUUUCUUGUGUAUUUUUACUUACUUUUUUAGACAAUAGGCCAAUGAUUGUAGGGUUUGUUCUAGCCUUGAAACCAACUCUCUGCAGAGCAAUUCCUGUUUCCACAAAGGGUGCAUCAGGAUGCAUGGGACCCCCGGAUCACAGGCCCCACGUGUGAACGAAGCAACACAGACCAUGGAUAACAGAGACCUCUCUAGGGUGAGUUCUCUUGAGAUGCAGGGCACGAUCAACAGGACGAACAAGCCUAAAGAUGACAAAUGGGUAUACUGGCAUGGGCUGGACGAAAGGAGGCAAUAGGGCUAAAAACACAGAACCAAACCUGUCAUUUCUCUCCACAACUUCCUUUUGAUCUCAAAUAUCAUGUGUUCUCACUUAUAAGUGGGAGCUAAACAAUGGGUACACUUGGGCAUGAAGAUGGAAAUCAUAGACACUGUGGAUUCCAAAGUAGGGGAGAAUGGGAGAGGGGCAAGGGUUCAAAAAUUACCUGUUAGGCACUAUGUUCACUAUCUUUUUUUUUUUUUUCUUUUUUGAGACGGAGUCUCGCUUUGUCGCCCAGCCUGGAGUGCAAUGGCGCGAUCCCGGCUCACUGCAACCUCUGCCCACCAGGUUCAAGUGAUUCUCCUGCCUCAGCCUCCUCAGUAGCUGGGACUACAGGCAUGCGCCACCACGCCUGGCUAAUUUUUGUAUUUUUAGUAGAGACAGGGUUUCGCCAUGUUGGGCAGGCUGAUCUCAAACUCCUGACCUCAAGUGAUCCGCCCACCUCGGCCUCCCAAAGUGCUGGGAUUACACAUGAGAGCCACCGCACCUGGCCUAUGUUCACUAUCUGGGUAACAAGUACACUAGAAGCCCAAUCCCACUGUUAUGCAAUAUACCCAUGCCUAUGUACGUGUACCCCCUGAAAACAUGCAUAUGUACCCCCGAAUCUAAAAUAAAAUAAAAGAGAUGCAGAAAAGAAUAAUUUAAAAAAUAUUUUGAGAAAUGUAUAACAAGAGCCAUAAAAGUGUUUAUAUUCCCUUGUCCUAGUAAUUCUGCUUGUGGAUAUUUAUCUUAACAAAAUCAUCAGAAAUGUGUAGAAUGAUUUAUGGAUAAGCAUGUUCACUGAAGCAUUCCUUAGACUAUAGGAAAAUUUGGGAAAAAAACCCCAAUAUACAAAAAUGAGGAAACACUUAAAUUAAUCGUAGUCCAUUCAGAUGAUGGAAUGCAGUGUAGAUAUGUAAAAAUCAUAUUUUCAGAGAUGGCUGUUGAUCAAUGAAAAUGCCCAAUCUAUAACAUUCCAUGAAAAAGACAGAUAUACAGCCAUAUAUUCCAUACAAUUAUAAUUUUAAAUAUGUAUGAAUGUGUGUGUAUAUAUAAUAUAUGUGAAAAAAUUGGAAAGAAAUACACUAAAAUGUUAACUCAUUAUCUCUAAGUGGCAGGAUUAUGAGAUUACAGGUGAUUGUUUCUGGUUCUUUGUAUUUUUUAGUAUUUUUUUUUAUUUUUUUGAGAUGGAUUCUCACUCUGUUGCCCAGGCUGGAGUGCAGUGGCAUGAUCUCAGCUCACUGCAACCUCUGCCUCCCAGGUUCAAGCGAUUCUCCUGCCUCAACCUCCCGAGUAGCUGGGACUACAGGUGCGCACCACCGUGCCCAGAUAAUUUUUGUAUUUUUAGUGGAGAUGGGGUUUCAUCAUGUUGGCCAGGAUGGUCUUGAUCUCUUGACCUCAUGAUCCACCCUGCUUGGCCUCCCAAACUGUUGGGAUUACAGGCGUGAGCCACUGCGCCUGGCCUAUAUUUUAGUGUUCUAAGAUUUUUCUACAAUGACUCUGUAUUGCUUUUAAUGUCAAAAAUCUCAAUAAUUUUGAAGGUUAUGGUAUUUAUAUACUUUUUUAAAAAAUGACAAAUGUUCUCCCUAAAUCAGAAAUGUGGACACCGUGUUUUGGCUUUAGUGUAGUGAGGUGGAGUAUUAUGAUUAAAUACUGUGUUUUCAAGCAUUAAUGACUCAAAGAGCAGGUACUUACAGAGCACCUAUUAUUGCCAUCAACCAGUGUUAUUGAGCACUUACUCAAUAAGUGUUGGCCUCUGACUUUACGCCUAAGAGUCAGGAGACCACAAAAAAGCAACAAUGUCAGGUCUGCAAGGUGAAGGCAAGAAGCUCAUGUUCUAGGUACUUGUGACUGUCCUGUAAUGCUAAAGAAUGAACCAUUACCAAAGAUUUGGCAAACUCGCCCAAGCUUACUCCUAAGGAGUCUAACCUUUGCCCAAGUAUCUAGGACUCAGGCCCACCUGCUUAGCCUGGUCUCACUGAAGUGUGGAGGCAAAGCAUUUGCAGCUUCAUCAUAUUCCAUUUUGUCUCAUAAGGAAAUUGUGUUAGUCCAAGAGGCUUGGUGUGUUACAUGGUUGUACAGCUUAGUGCUUUCUUAGCACUCUGUUUAAGUGCUGACAACUUGAUAUUUUCAUCAAUGGUUGCUAUAUUUCUCCAAUGUUAGGUUGACAGGCUAAUAAUUUCAGAAGUCAAUUUCUCCCUCUCUCUCUCUUCUCCCAGUUUACAUAUUUCUAUUUUCCAAUUCCUUUAUCUGCAUUUUGUAAAUACCUCAAAAUAGUGGAAGGCAAGGCCUCUAGGAUCACUUGGCCCAAUCUCCAUAUAAUUGGAUCCUUAGGGCUUGCUAUAUCUUUAAAGAAAUUGAGGUCACCUUUUGUCACCAAGAAUUAAGCACCUGUUGUGUGACUGAUGGAGAUCUGUACACAGAGCACAUUGCCCAGGGCAGGGGUGAUUUGGUUACAGGCAGCCUCUCGAUGUAUGAUAAAAGUUGGCAUCAGGUUGUAAACAUUUUGCUCACUGUAGCAGAAAGCUCUCUGUGAACGGAGAGCUGUCUAAACAGGGUGGUUGGCCACAGAACCUGCCCAGGGAUGCACCUCCUUUCCACAUUAGCCCAUGGCCUUUCCAGCCCUGAAAUCUGAGUUGCAUGUGAGUCACUUAGACAGGCCAUCUGUCAAUUAUUAAGCGACAUCAGUGGGCCCAGCAAUUCCAUUCUGCGUAGUGCAAAGGUCCUCCACACAUUCCAGGUCUAUACCAUCAAAGUGGCUAUUUUUCUCAACCUAUCCCUGCCCUUUAAGAAAAUGGGGGUCAUUUAUUUCCAGGGAUCACUAUUUACACCCCAUUGGCAGGUAGUGGAGCCCAGUGGUUAAUAAACAACCUUGUUUUAAAUCCCAUCUCUGUUGUUUGCAAGCUGUGUGUCUUUCAGAAACUUUACUUAAAUUUCUUGAGCAUCAGUUUCCUCACAAGGGUGUGGUCAAGUGAUAAUCAAGUAUUUGUACUUUAACCCUGUACCUGGCUGAUAGCAAGCCCUCAGAAAAGAAUUAACUUAGAGUUUUUAUACAUUCCCUCCAGUACAAUGUUCCUAACAUACAAGGGGCAUAUGUGUGUAUUAUGAGUGGGAAGAAGGAAGGAAGGAUGCAAUUGAUAAGGCUUGCAUUCAACAUUGCUGUAGUCAAACCCUCUUUCCUUAGGAAGAUCUGGAUGUGCCAACAUUUCUUAUAUAUCAUAUGUGGAGGUGACUUAGGUUUUUCUUUCAGUACUUCAUCAUUUGAAAGAGCAUUUGGUGAUAAUGAGCAGGUUCUGAAGUCUGUGAACUAAACUAAAAGUAAAAAUAAAUGGGACGGUGAAAUUUUGUUUGUGCCUUAAGGGAACUCCCUUUUACCCUCCCACUAUGUUGAUGAUGUCAUGUUUGUUCUAACAUAUCAUCUAACAAUUCCCUCCAUUCAUUUUUUUUCUCCUUAUUUCUUUUCCUUUCAAGUAACAGUAUCUUCAACAAUCGUUCGGCUGUUCAGGAACUUAAAAAUCAUGAGACGAUUCUUAAAGGAUAGGAACUAACAUUGAUCACACAGUGUGUAAUCCCACAUCUAUAUACUGGCAAAUGAUGGCACAAACACCAUAAAAUCUCAGCUUGCUUUGUAGCCAUUCUGGAUUGCUGAGUUCUAGGCAAGUAAGAGCUGGUCCUUCAAAGCACCAAAAGAAAGAAAGGAAGGAAG
rnacentral:lncRNA from 10 species